AGUGAACGCUGGCGGCGUGCCUAAUACAUGCAAGUCGAACGGAGUGGCGCGCGGGUGAGUAAUGUAUAGCUAAUCUGCCCUACACUAGAGGACAACAGUUGGAAACGGCUGCUAAUACUCUAUAGUGUAGGAUGAGGCGAUAUUGUAUCAGCUAGUUGGUGAGGUAAUGGCUCACCAAGGCUAUGACGCAUAACUGGUCGGAGAGGAUGAUCAGUCACACUGGAACUGAGACAGGGUGCAGAAUUCUUCGGGAGGCAGCAGUAGGGAAUAGUGCUCAAUGGGGGAAAAUCUGAAGCAGCAAAGGCGCGUGGAGGAUGACACUUUUCGGAGAGUAAACUCCUUUUGUUAGGGAAGCGGUACCUAACGAAUAAGCACCGGCUAACUCCGUGCCAGCAGCCGCGGUAAUAC
rnacentral:rRNA from 1 species